CACAAGUGACAUUGCCAGCAAGGUCCAGGCUGACAAACAGUGGCAGUGCUGCUGCUCCCAAGAGGAUAAGUCACCUGUGCCCAAAGAACUGUAUGGGGGGAUAAAAAAAAUCUCUGCAGUACCCUGAUGGUAUAUUUGGGGGAGCUCAGGAGCUGGUGAAAUCACAGCUCUACAUAUGACCAAACCUUUGGAAUCUUCCAUCUAGCUACAAACUGGACAUCUAACUGGAGGAUUCUUGGAUUUGCAGUCCAAAAAGCACCCUUACCUCAGGACAAGAAGCCAAAUGGAUAAUAUUACAAAUGGUGUUGGCUGUGUUUGCAAGUGGCAAUAAUGUGAUACAAUUUUCUCCUACUUUAUACUUCACAACUCAAAAGGAAAGAAAUAGCAGCAAGUAAAAAAAGGCAGCCUUGCAUUCA